rnacentral:lncRNA from 1 species
AUACUAAUACCAAAUUGGCUCGAAAAUAGCAUUGUGUGAUAUUAUUUUUUUUGGGUAAGUAGCAUAAGUUCCUGUGUAAUUCUAAUCUUGGUGCUCUUCUCUCAAGCAAUCCAUAGAAUCUCAAGCAACUUGACGUGCGAUGUUAUCAAUUAGUUGAUCUAUUAGUGUGUCUAAAACAUAUUAACAUUCAUAUUAAACUUUACAUAAGUCACCUCACAUCAUUGUUACAAAAUGAGCUUAACUAAUUAACACAUUGGCUUUAUUAUCUCACAUAUUAAUAUUAUUAACUCAAACACUCAAGAUUAUAAAAAAUAUCACGUAAAAGCAUUCAAACAUCCGAAGAUCGAAAGAAACACAUAUUCUUGCAUUAAAAGCUAUCGCAUUGAAUAAUGAAAUACCAGCCUUAAUAUCUUGCAAUAUAGCUUUUAAAGAAUCCAUUUGGAACUCCAAAUCUUGUCCCUUCUUUAAAUAACCUCAAUUGUUUGUUUAAAUGUCACUUUACCAAAAUAACUCUCUCCUAAAAGAACUUAAAUGUAAGCCCGAGAAAUCAAAAAAUUAUCCAAAAGCAUAGUUGUGUAGAAACAAUUCUCUGCAACAACUCAAAAUUAGGAUUACUGUUCACAUUUAGUUUAACUAACACAAAAUUAAUUGAAAAGAAGUGGCUUCAUGCCCUCAUCUUUUGUUCAGAAAAGGAAUUCACAAGAAUGCUACAACCAAUAAAGAAGGUAAAAACUGAACCAUAUGUCUAGAAGUCUUGUUGAUCAAAUAUAUAUCAUCAGAUAAGAAAAAUAAAGUUAGAUAUACAUGCCAACUAAACCUUUGCCAUUCAACACUUUUUAGCUACUUUUUAUACAAAAAAAACGCCAGCAACUAAUGCUUGUUGCACCUGAAAUUGGUACAUCAUAAACUCACACAUAAUUCAAGAUAAGUCGAAUAACUCCAAUCAGGAUUGAUUACUAAUAUUUUUUUGUCUAAUGACAUAACAAAAAAGCUAAAAGGCUCAUACUAUCUGUAAAAAGUCAUCGCAUUGGUAAAAAAUUGACAAUAUACUUUAUAUUUGACGCAUGUAAGGUGUAUUCAUUACUGGAAGCACCAAGAAAGUGCUGAUUUACGAAAGAUAAAAGAAACUGGAGAUCCAAGAGCACACACAAUAAAUGAUUGAUAGGUUUAUCUCUAAAAUUAAUUGCCACAACAAAAACAGAAAGAAAUUUAAAAUAUAUGCCUAAUCUUCGUGGAAAGGUUUUCUAAUGCUUCUAUAAGGUAGGAGUACUUUAAACAUACUUGUUUAAAGUAUGCAAGAAUAUGUGUGUCAACAAACUUCAUACAAUAGAGGAGCAGAAAGCUAUGACUUUUCUGCUGAAGCCACUGGAUAUGGCGGCAAAGUUGCCGGUAAUGUCAUUUUUUACUGCACGCUCUACCAUUUGACUCUGAUUAUAAAGCUCAUUUGUCAUUUUUAUUGUAUUGCUAUUAUUGUAUUGCUGUUAUUUUAUUAUGCAUUUUUAUGGUACUAAUAUAUCGGUUUCGGUUGCUUUUUGAGUCGAUGGUCUCCUGGAAACAGCCUCUCUACCCUUCGGGGUAGGGGUAAGGUCUGCGUACAUAUUACCCUCCCCAGACCCCACGUGUGGGAUUAUACUGGGUUGUUGUUGUUGUUGUAACAUCCCCAAUUUAGAAUCUUAUGUAAAAAUUAUAGAAUCCCAGAAACUACAGAAUCAUAAUUACCAAUUUAUAACCAAAAAAAUAAAUGCAAACACUUAAAUUAAUCAAUUACCUUUCUAAAGCAAAGUUGGACCUUUAGAGUAAGCUAAACCCAACUUGUGUAUUCAAAUACUUGGUUAAGAACUCCAUGAAUCGAACUGAAAUGUCAAGCAACGCCACUUUAAAGAAACCUAACGGCAGAAAUGAAG